UACGGAGGGUGCAAGCGUUAUCCGGAUUCACUGGGUUUAAAGGGUGCGUAGGCGGGUUGGUAAGUCCGUGGUGAAAUCCCCAAGCUUAACUUGGGAACUGCCGUGGAUACUAUCAAUCUUGAAUAUCGUGGAGGUAAGCGGAAUAUGUCAUGUAGCGGUGAAAUGCCUAGAUAUGACAUAGAACACCAAUUGCGUAGGCAGCUUACUACACGAUCAUUGACGCUGAGGCACGAAAGCGUGGGGAGCAAACAGG
rnacentral:rRNA from 1 species